rnacentral:rRNA from 1 species
AGGCAAUAGAUACCCGGGUAGUCCACGCCCUAAACGAUGUCAACUAGGUGUUGGAGGAGCAAUCCUUUGGUACCGCAGCUAAACGCGUGAAGUUGACCGCCUGGGGAGUACGGUCGCAAGAUUAAAACUCAAAGGAAUUGACGGGGACCCGCACAAGCGGUGGAUGAUGUGGAUUAAAUUCGAUGCAACGCGAACAACCUUACCUACCCUUGACAUGUCUGGAAUCCUGCUGAAAGGCGGGAGUGCCCGAAAGGGAACCGGAACACAGGUGCUGCAUGGCUGUCGUCAGCUCGUGUCGUGAGAUGUUGGGUUAAGUCCCGCAACGAGCGCAACCCUUGUCCUUAGUUGCUACGCAAGGGCACUCUAAGGAGACUGCCGGUGACAGACCGGAGGAAGGUGGGGAUGACGUCAAGUCCUCAUGGCCCUUAUGGGUAGGGCUUCACACGUCAUACAAUGGUCGGUACAAAGGGCAGCCAACCCGCGAGGGGGAGCCAAUCCCAGAAAGCCGAUCGUAGUCCGGAUUGCAGUCUGCAACUCGACUGC